UGCCUCAGUAACGGCGAGUGAAGCGGCAACAGCCCAGAUUUGAAAUCUGGCCCUCGGGCCCGACUUGUAAUCUGCAGAUGAGUCUUUUGGUGAAGCGCCGUCCAAGUUCCCUGGAACGGGACGCCGGAGAGGGUGAGAGCCCCGUACCGACGUGCGUCUAGCCUUUGCAAAGCUCAUUCGAAGAGUCGAGUAGUUUGGAAAUGCUGCUCUAAUUGUGGGGUAAAUCUCCCAUAAGGCUAAAUACUGGCCAGAGACCGAUAGCGCACAAGUAGCGUGAGCGAAAGAUGAAAAGAGCCUUGGACAAGGGCGUCAAAAAGCAUGUGAAAUUGUUGUGAGGGAAGCGCUCGAUGCCAGACGUGGUGGCGGUUGGUUACCCGGCGUUCUCGCCGGCGCACUCUGCCGUCUCCAGGCCAGCAUCAGUUCGGCUCGGGGCUCAAUGCCGUAAGGAAUGUGGCUCUUCGGAGUGUUAUAGCCCUGCGGCGACGCCCUGCGCCGGACUGAGGAACGCGCAUCUGCCCGGAUGCUGGCGUAAUGGCUUCUAGCGACCCGUCUUGAAACACGGACCAAGGAGUUGACCUAGUAUGCGAGUGUUUGGGUGUAAAGCCCUCACGCGCAGUGAAAGCGAAGCAGGUGGGAGCCUCGGCGCACCAUCGACCGAUCCUGAAGUUUACGGAUGGAUUUGAGUAAGAGCAUGCUGGGUCUGACCCGAAAGAAGGUGAACUAUGCAUGAAUAGGGUGAAGCCAGAGGAAACUCUGGUGGAGGCUCGCAGCGGUUCUGACGUGCAAAUCGAUCGUCAAAUUUGUGCAUGGGGGCGAAAGACCA
rnacentral:rRNA from 1 species